UACGUAGGGUGCAAGCGUUGUCCGGAAUUAUUGGGCGUAAAGCGCACGUAGGCGGUCCGAUAAGUCGGAUGUGAAAGCCCUGGGCUCAACCUAGGAAGUGCAUUCGAAACUGUCGGACUUGAGUACGGGAGAGGGUUGCGGAAUUCCCGGUGUAGCGGUGAAAUGCGUAGAUAUCUGGAGGAACACCGGUGGCGAAGGCGGCAUCCUGGACCGACACUGACGCUGAGGAGCGAAAGCCAGGGGAGCAAACGGG
rnacentral:rRNA from 1 species